rnacentral:rRNA from 1 species
AGCAACAUCUUGUAGCUUACAACGCCUCGCUUAACCACACCCCUACGGGAGACAGCAGUGACAAAAAUUAAGCCAUAAACGAAAGUUUGACUAAGCCAUGUUGACCAGGGUUGGUAAAUCUCGUGCCAGCCACCGCGGUCAUACGAUUAACCCAAGCUAACAGGAAUACGGCGUAAAACGUGUUAAAGCACUACAUCAAAUAGAGUUAAAUUCUAAUUAAACUGUAAAAAGCCAUAAUUACAACAAAAAUAGAUGACGAAAGUAACCCUACUGCGCUUGAUACAC